CCAGCCCGCUCAGAAACUUAAAGGACUUGACGGGGGCCCGCACAAGCGGUGGAGCAUGUGGUUUAAUUCGAUGAUACGCGAGGAACCUUACCUGGGCUCAAAUGUAUGUUGACGUAUUCUGAAAGGGAUACUUCUUCGGACAAUAUACAAGGUGCUGCAUGGUUGUCGUCAGCUCGUGCCGUGAGGUGUCGGGUUAAGUCCCAUAACGAGCGCAACCCCUAUCAUUAGUUGCCAUCAGGUCAAGCUGGGGACUCUAAUGAAACUGCCUACGCAAGUAGUGAGGAAGGUGGGGAUGACGUCAAAUCAGCACGGCCCUUACGUCCAGGGCUACACACGUGCUACAAUGGCCGGUACAAAGGGCAGCUACCUGGUGACAGGAUGCUAAUCUCAAAAGCCGGUCUCAGUUCGGAUCGGAGUCUGCAACCCGACUCCGUGAAGCUGGAAUCACUAGUAAUCGCGCAUCAGCCAUGGCGCGGUGAAUACGUUCCCGGGCCUU
rnacentral:rRNA from 1 species